AAACGGUAGAUAACUUAAUUUCUAUUAAAUUGCCUCCGAGAUGAGCCUACGAUAUUCGAGAAUCUAAAAUAUUGUCAGGCGUUCACACGGCAAGUUUCGUAAUAUCGCCAUCGCGAUAAUGAAAUUUUUGACACGAUAUAUUGUUCCAGUGUGAAUUAUCCCGAACCUAUUCCGGUGUAAAUUACUGACAGGUACAUUAUAAUUGUUUAUUUAACAUUAGACGUAGCAUAAUGCAAUAUUUUCCAACAAAAGACAUUUUCAAA